rnacentral:snRNA from 10 species
AAAAAUUGGAACAAUACAGAGAAGAUUAGUGUGGCCCCUGUGCAAGGGUGACACACCAAUUCAUGAAGUAUUCCAUAAGAUA